rnacentral:lncRNA from 1 species
UAACAGUUUAAUUAAGCUUGUUUUGGGCUCUCUUGAUUCUCAGGAGCUUUGAAGAAGGCCUCCCAUAACUUGCUGUUGGGGCCAGCUGGAAAAUAUUCAAGCGAAGUUUGGCUUCUGGCACAGGACUCUGAUGAAUCUCUCCAAACAUCUGCAGCAGCUCACCAGGAGCAAUGCCUGCUGAAGAGGAAAUUUAAGAUGGAAAUUCCUCCAGUCAAUGGAAGUUGGCAGUGAGCAGAGCGUUGCCAGGGAAGUAACGCUUCCCUCAGGGUUGGCAGGAUCAGGAGCCGUGAAGGUGACACAGGGAGGUGACACAGCGCUGUCUUGGGCAGCUCCAGCAUUCCCAGUGUCUGUGUGGAGAUGCUGGACAUUUCUGGCUCCUUUUACCUCGGGUUGAGGAGAGACAGGUUGCCCAAAGCAGCUGCUCCUGGCAAUCCUCGUUGUCAUCCUGACAGAGACAGAGCAAGGAAGAUGUGGCUCCAAGAAUUGCCCAGAGCCAGCUGGUUGGAAGAGGCAUCUUUCAGACCCAUCAUCAAGGUACUUGAGCAUAAGCUUCCUUCAAUGAUACAGGAGUGUCAUUGGCUUCAACAGCAUUACUGA